rnacentral:rRNA from 1 species
CCAGACUCCUACGGGAGGCAGCAGUGAGGAAUAUUGGUCAAUGGGCGCGAGCCUGAACCAGCCAAGUCGCGUGAGGGAUGACGGCCCUACGGGUUGUAAACCUCUUUUGUCGGGGAGCAAAUUCCGCCACGUGUGGCGGAGUCGAGAGUACCCGAAGAAAAAGCAUCGGCUAACUCCGUGCCAGCAGCCGCGGUAAUACGGAGGAUGCGAGCGUUAUCCGGAUUUACUGGGUGUAAAGGGAGCGUAGGUGGCAUGGUAAGCCAGAAGUGAAAACCCAGGGCUCAACUCUGUGGAUUGCUUUUGGAACUAUCAAGCUAGAGUGCUGGAGGGGUAAGCGGAAUUCCUAGUGUAGCGGUGAAAUGCGUAGAUAUUAGGAGGAACACCGGUGGCGAAGGCGGCUUACUGGACAGAAACUGACACUGAGGCUCGAAAGCGUGGGGAGCAAACAGGAUUAGAUACCCCGGUA